UUAACAAUAGUUCAAUUAGAACGACAGUUUGUCAGAUUGUAGGAAGAGGGAAUCGUCUUUGUUAAAC
rnacentral:tRNA from 1 species